UUAGGUGAAUUUGAUGGACGUAAGGAAGUCAAAUAAACCUGAGCACUUAGAGGAAGGCGAAGUCGUAACAAGGUUUCCGUAGGU
rnacentral:rRNA from 1 species